rnacentral:rRNA from 1 species
UACGUAGGGUGCAAGCGUUGUCCGGAAUUAUUGGGCGUAAAGAGCUCGUAGGCGGUCUGUCGCGUCGGAUGUGAAAACUCGAGGCUCAACCUCGAGCGUGCACCCGAUACUGCCGGGCUUGAGGCAGGUAGGGGAGAUCGGGAAUUCCUGGUGUAGCGGUGAAAUGCGCAGAUAUCAGGAGGAACACCGGUGGCGAAGGCGGAUCUCUGGGCCUGUCCUGACGCUGAGGCGCGAAAGCUAGGGGAGCGAACAGG